GGGGAAGGGAAGGGAAAAACUGUAGUUUCAAGGGGUUAAGUAUGUUGCCCAAAGCCAAAGCCACUUUGGGCUCACUAGCUACCAGCUAGUAAGUGGUGAUGUGGAGACUCACCCAACUCAGGUCACUUCCUGCUGCAGAGUCCUCACUCCAGCUUUCUCACCAAUCCUCCCCCUACACAAGAAGAUCAUCUCUGGGUUCAGGUCACCCAUCCAACUCCACUGAUGGAUUUAGGCUCAUUUAAUCCAAACUCGACUCCAUUUCAGCCAGAACCAGGCACCUCUAGAAAGGUGUGACAUGGGCCUCUGUGACCCAAGCUGAGGACUAACCCACCGCUCAUAACACGGUUUCUACGGGAAAACCAAGUUGUGAAUUUUGAAUUAUCAGCCCACUGAGGGUGGAAGUCCAAGAUCUGUGGUGAUUUGGGUGCUGAUGCAAGCCAGAAGUCACAGCCCAGAGCCUGCAGCGGCUGCACUGCUGGGUCCCCAGUCCUCGAUGGGCACCAGCCAACCUGCCCUCUCGACCCUCCACAGCAACUCAGGCCCCCACUCCAUGGCUCCCCUGCACCAUCCUCAUGCCUGGUCAACUCUUGCUGCCAGUUGCUGUGAGACCCAGCUCACCACUGGGCAAACAGAGCUUGCAAAAUGCAGCCCAUGCUCACCAUUCAUGGAUUCCAUAUGUACAAAUUCACCUACCUGCGAAAUUGUAUCUGUAACCCCAAAAUCAAUACUGGCUGCACUUUUGGGGUCAUUCUCGGACACACACAGAGUGGGGAAGAAUGAGGGCUGCUCAACACGCACAUUCCCAGCGGGGGUGGAACAAGGCCCGCUCAGCCUGCUGGCUUCAGCUCCCACAAUGCAAACAAGUGUCCUUUUCGCAGGCUAUUUGGUGCCACAUUUUUCAUGCUUUUGUGCUUUGUGUUGGUGAUUUCACUGUUUAAAAUGUCCCCUAAGCAUAUUCGAAGCAACCUGGAUGAGACUGGAGACUAUUAUUCUAAGUGAAGUAACUCAGGAAUGGAAAACCAAACAUUGUCUGUUCUCACUCAUAAGUGAGAGCUAAGCUAUGAGGAUGCAAAGGCAUAAGAAUGACACAAUGGACUUUGGGGACUCAGGGAGAAAGAGUGGGAAGGGGGUGAGGGAUAAAAGACUACAAACUGGGUUCAGUGUAUGCUUCCCAGGUGAUGAGUGCACCAAAAUCUCACAAAUCACCACUAAAGAACUGACUCAUGUAACCAAAUGCCACCUGUUCCCCAAUAACCUAUGAAAAUAAAAAAAAAAAUUAAUGUCCCCCAAG
rnacentral:lncRNA from 1 species